rnacentral:rRNA from 1 species
GAUGAACGCUGGCGGCGUGCCUAAUACAUGCAAGUCGAGCGAACAGACGAGGAGCUUGCUCCUCUGACGUUAGCGGCGGACGGGUGAGUAACACGUGGAUAACCUACCUAUAAGACUUGGAUAACUUCGGGAAACCGGAGCUAAUACCGGAUAAUAUAUUGAACCGCAUGGUUCAAUAGUGAAAGACGGUUUUGCUGUCACUUAUAGAUGGAUCCGCUCCGCAUUAGCUAGUUGGUAAGGUAACGGCUUACCAAGGCAACGAUGCGUAGCCGACCUGAGAGGGUGAUCGGCCACACUGGAACUGAGACACGGUCCAGACUCCUACGGGAGGCAGCAGUAGGGAAUCUUCCGCAAUGGGGGAAAGCCUGACGGAGCAACGCCGCGUGAGUGAUGAAGGUCUUCGGAUCGUAAAACUCUGUUAUUAGGGAAGAACAAAUGUGUAAGUAACUAUGCACGUCUUGACGGUACCUAAUCAGAAAGACACGGCUAACUACGUG